rnacentral:sRNA from 1 species
GAGAGUUGUCUUUUCUUGUCAUUAGUCCCAUCGGUAUUUCUGAUGACCAGAAGCGUACUACAAAAUACAGUGCCUUUAUUCAGUACAAUGGACUCUGUUUUCUAGUAUUUAAAAUGUUAAGCAAAUUGUUGGCUGUGUAGAAAUCUAAAGAUUUACUUUUUUUUAUAUUGUCGGAGAACAACAAUCUGAAUUUUCAAGUUUUGACAAGAAUGAUAGCCGAGGCCAGGAAGCAAUCUCCAAACGCUUGUCAGUUGUAUCAAGAGUUCCUUUCACUGAAGAACAGCUUUUCAGCAUUUUUGAUAUAGUACCAGGAUUGGAAUAUUGUGAAGUUCAACGAGAUCCUUAUUCAAAUUAUGGUCAUGGAGUGGUUCAGUAUUUUAAUGUAGCAUCAGCUAUUUAUGCAAAAUACAAAUUACAUGGAUUUCAGUACCCUCCUGGGAACCGAAUAGGUGUUUCCUUCAUUGAUGAUGGAAGUAAUGCAACAGAUCUCCUUAGAAAAAUGGCAACACAGAUGGUAGCUGCACAGCUUGCAUCAAUGGUGUGGAAUAACCCAAGUCAGCAACAAUUUAUGCAAUUUGGAGGAAGCUCUGGAUCACAGUUGCCUCAAAUCCAGACAGAUGUUGUACUUCCAUCAUGCAAAAAAAAAGCUCCUGCUGAAACUCCUGUGAAAGAAAGACUUUUUAUUGUGUUUAAUCCUCAUCCUUUACCUUUAGACGUAUUAGAAGAUAUAUUCUG